rnacentral:sRNA from 1 species
GCCGGGCGUGGUGGCGCAUGCCUGUAAUCCCAGUGGCUGGGGUGGCUGAGGCAGGAGGAUCAUGAGUUCAAAGCCAGCCUCAGCAACUUAGAGAGGCCCUAAGCAACUCAGUGAGACCCUGUCUCUA